AGAGUUUGAUCCUGGCUCAGAUUGAACGCUGGCGGCAUGCCUUACACAUGCAAGUCGAACGGCAGCACGGGGGCAACCCUGGUGGCGAGUGGCGAACGGGUGAGUAAUACAUCGGAACGUGUCCUGUAGUGGGGGAUAGCCCGGCGAAAGCCGGAUUAAUACCGCAUACGAUCUACGGAAGAAAGUGGGGGAUCGCAAGACCCUCGCGCUAUAGGGGCGGCCGAUGGCAGAUUAGCUAGUUGGUGGGGUAAAGGCCUACCAAGGCGACGAUCUGUAGCUGGUCUGAGAGGACGACCAGCCACACUGGGACUGAGACACGGCCCAGACUCCUACGGGAGGCAGCAGUGGGGAAUUUUGGACAAUGGGGGAAACCCUGAUCCAGCAAUGCCGCGUGUGUGAAGAAGGCCUUCGGGUUGUAAAGCACUUUUGUCCGGAAAG
rnacentral:rRNA from 1 species